rnacentral:hammerhead_ribozyme from 1 species
AUUCAGCUGACGAGUCUCAAAUAAAACGAAACACGCGUCCUGAAU